rnacentral:tRNA from 1 species
GUUAAGGUGGCUUAAUGGAUAGAGCUCAGGGCUAGGAGUUCGGAGGACCUGGGUUCUAAUCCUGGCUCUAUCA